rnacentral:rRNA from 1 species
AGACCCGAAACCCGGUGAUCUAGCCAUGGGCAGGUUGAAGGUUGGGUAACACUAACUGGAGGACCGAACCGACUAAUGUUGAAAAAUUAGCGGAUGACCUGUGGCUGGGGGUGAAAGGCCAAUCAAACCGGGAGAUAGCUGGUUCUCCCCGAAAGCUAUUUAGGUAGCGCCUCGUGAAUUCAUCUCCGGGGGUAGAGCACUGUUUCGGCUAGGGGGCCAUCCCGGCUUACCAACCCGAUGCAAACUGCGAAUACCGGAGAAUGUUAUCACGGGAGACACACGGCGGGUGCUAACGUCCGUCGUGAAGAGGGAAACAACCCAGACCGCCAGCUAAGGUCCCAAAGUCAUGGUUAAGUGGGAAACGAUGUGGGAAGGCCCAGACAGCCAGGAUGUUGGCUUAGAAGCAGCCAUCAUUUAAAGAAAGCGUAAUAGCUCACUGGUCGAGUCGGCCUGCGCGGAAGAUGUAACGGGGCUAAACCAUGCACCGAAGCUGCGGCAGCGACACUGUGUGUUGUUGGGUAGGGGAGCGUUCUGUAAGCCUGUGAAGGUGUGUCGUGAGGCAUGCUGGAGGUAUCAGAAGUGCGAAUGCUGACAUAAGUAACGAUAAAGCGGGUGAAAAGCCCGCUCGCCGGAAGACCAAGGGUUCCUGUCCAACGUUAAUCGGGGCAGGGUGAGUCGACCCCUAAGGCGAGGCCGAAAGGCGUAGUCGAUGGGAAACGGGUUAAUAUUCCCGUACUUGGUGUUACUGCGAAGGGGGGACGGAGAAGGCUAUGUUGGCCGGGCGACGGUUGUCCCGGUUUAAGCGUGUAGGUGUGUGUUCCAGGUAAAUCCGGUUCACUUUAACACUGAGGCGUGACGACGAGGCACUACGGUGCUGAAGCAACAAAUGCCCUGCUUCCAGGAAAAGCCUCUAAGCAUCAGGUAACAU